rnacentral:rRNA from 1 species
CCUACGGGAGGCUGCAGUGAGGAAUAUUGGUCAAUGGGCGGAAGCCUGAACCAGCCAAGUAGCGUGCGGGAUGAAGGCCCUACGGGUCGUAAACCGCUUUUGCACGGGGAUAACACCCUCCACUUGUGGAGGUCUGCAGGUACCGUGCGAAUAAGGGCCGGCUAAUUCCGUGCCAGCAGCCGCGGUAAUACGGAAGGCCCGAGCGUUAUCCGGAUUCAUUGGGCUUAAAGGGAGCGUAGGCGGCAAGGUAAGUCUGAUGUUAAAGCCCGGGGCUCAACUCCGGUUCGGCAUUGGAUACUAUCUAGCUAGAAUGUGGUAGAGGUAAAGGGAAUUCCUGGUGUAGCGGUGAAAUGCGUAGAUAUCAGGAGGAACAUCGGUGGCGAAAGCGCUUUACUGGACCAUUAUUGACGCUGAGGAACGAAAGCCAGGGGAGCAAAUGGGAUUAGAUACCCUUGUAGUC